rfam:Triticum aestivum genome assembly, contig: Triticum_aestivum_CS42_TGACv1_scaffold_406257_5BL
UACGUACUCCCUCCGUCCGAAAAUACUUGUAAUCAAAAUGAAAAAAAAUGAUGUAUCUAAAACUAAAAUACAUCUAAAUACAUUUCUUUUUAUUCAUUUUGAUGAUAAGUAUUUUCGGACGGAGAGAAUACCUA